CCAGUGUUUGUUGAGGACAGGGGGUGUGUCAUCACCGAUAUGGACAAGGGAACCUUCAGGUGUGGGUUUGAUGGCUGAGGAGAAGGGCAGAGACACACCAGGCAGAGGCUGUUUCACUUUCUCAUUAGAUGUUCAAGUCACUUGCACGCCUACUUUGGCCUCCGUUUCCCAAGCUAACGACCCACUUGAGCUGAAGAUGUAUCUAUCAGGAUAAACCCCAAAGUCAGAAUGCCUAGUUCCAAGACCCUGCUUUGCCCUGGAUGUGCUGGGAAGCUUUGGGUGAGUUUCUCAGCAUUUCUGGACCUCAAUCUUCUUAUUUGCAAAAUGGAGAUAAUGAUGCCACCCUUUCACAAGGUUACAGAGAGAAUGACACAAGGGAAUGUAGACAGAAAACCGCGGGGCAGGAGGCUCCCUGGUAACCCAAACCUGCAGUGGUUCCCUGGGGAAGAAGGCAGGGUCCUGGGAGGCACAUACCUCACUAAGCCCCGUGAGCUUGCGACUAUAGGUGGGUCGCGUGAAGACGUAGACCGGGAGUGCGUGGUUGGGGUGGUGGGUGUGAGCCACACGAAGGGCCUCCUGAACACGGAAGCUGACAAAGUUGCGGCCGUGGGUGGAGGACGCAAGUGUCUCGUCCAGGUAGACAGAGGGGAAGAGGGCUGUGCUCUCUGCCCACAGCCAGGCCAGCUGGUCAUUUCGGGAGACCUCAACGUCAGGGCAGCGGCCUGUAUAGGUCUCCCAGUUCUGCACAUAAUCAUGGUUAUAACAGUCUGGGAAGAGGUAGAAGCCCCAGAGGUGCCGAGGCCGAACUGCCUUGACAAAGCGCAGUGUCUCCAGCAUGAACUGCCGUGCAGCGAAUUCAAACUCGUAUUGCGCCUGCUUGACUACACGAUCUGAUGGCCAGUCAGGGUGGCGAACAGCCACCAACUGGCGUGAUGAUUGACGGUAUAUGUCCUUGUCCUGCCAGUUGCGCACCCACACAGGCCGCCAGUCCUCCCAGUCGAUAACUGCCAGCCCUGCAGGCUCCUGUGUACGAAUGUAGUGCUCCACGUGUUCCUGCAGCAUCUUCAGAUGUGCCCAGAGGCUGCCAUUCUGUGGCACGCCACCGUGCACUGACCUCCCCACUGAACUGAAGCGGGGAUACAGGCCCAGCCGGUCAUGGUAGAAAAUGGUGAUGUUCUGGUUCACAAAACCCUCAUUAGGUGAGGCCUGUACAUCAAAGGCCUUUAGGUCCAGUGGCACCUUGAGGCGAGGGCCACAAUCUUGUGUGGGCACGUCCCAUGCUACCACAAAGGGUCGGCCUGUAAAGAUGGGUGGCGCUGUGGGCUUGAGCUGGGUGGCCCAUGCCGCCGCCCACACCACAGCCAGUGUGAUGGCAGGGCCCAAGCCUGCCCACAUGCUGGGGGCUACAGGAAAACGGUGUCACCUGCCUGGCACCAGCUCAGGAACUAGGGGAGAGAUGGGAAAGAGCAAGUCAGUCUAGAGAAUCAGCGAGGUGCCCACCCCAAACCCAUUCACACUCCCCAAGCCCACGCUGUGGGGGGCACCGUGCCCAAGGCUGUUGAGACCCUGUUACGUGACUGUAACAGGUCUGAAAGACCACAGGAGGGAAGGGAAGACACCCUGGAACUCCCUGCCAGGAGCACAGGAUUCCUUCCUGGAGCAGGUGGCUUACGGCUGGACAGAGACCUCUGGUAGGUGUGUGACUCUAAGAAUUGGCCGGCUGCACUACGGACUAGCUGUCCACAGAUACAGAUGCCUGCAUACCACCCAAAACAUGGUUUCAGAGAGCCUCGAACCCGCGGCCCACUCUGUACUCCACGAGGAACUCCUGGUCCAGGGAAACGAUAGCAUUUGUAUAAGGAAGGGCACAGCUCAUACAGCCACAAGGAAGCUGGAACACAGCCGCGAAGCUAUCAUGUGUGUAACACCCGCCAGGAAGAAGAGCGAGAACGUCAGGACUUUGUCUCGAACGCACUCUCCCAAGCUUGGUGGAGGCCCCACCGGGACAAAGGGGUGGCGGACCUCCCUCGGCGGCGCCGGCGGACCGGCCCUUCGCUCCGCAGCCACCGGGAAUGCGCCCCACACCGCCAGACGGGUCCCGGGAGGAGCUCACUCCCCCUGGCCUUUGUGCUGGACCCCGCCCCCGCCCCGCACGUGGGGCCAGUGCCCGGCCGGGUGGGGGUUGGGUUCCUUGGCCGCCCCGCUGAGCGCAUCCCCUGGACUUCUGAACCCAACCUGAAGGAAGAAAGCCGCUAGGCUUGCACUGCCCGCCCUCACCUCGCGCGGGGCGCUGCCGGGACCCACGCCAUGGCCACUGCCAUCCCCGGCCCAGCCCGGCCCGCUCCGGCCGCUAGCCCAGGCGCAGCCCAGGCUCCGCGCCUCUGCUGCUCCGCCCCGCCCCCUCCCCACCCCGGCCCGCGGGCCCUUUAAGAAUCCAGCGCGGAGGUGGGCCUGGGGCAGGACUUGUGGCCGGGGCGGGAAUGUGUUCCCGACUUUCGCGCAGCCAGUGCCACGUUUCAGGCUCCAAGGCCCCCAGAUUCUUCCCCGAGGAACGUGACCAUCCAUCUGGGGCCGUGAGGCCCCUCCGAACAGGGCUUUCUUCUGGAAUCUUAGGUGCUAGUGCCAGUCAGCCCAAAGUUUCCUCCCCCACCAGCUCACUGUCGGUGGUACAGUCCUCCCCGCUCCGCCGCGCGACCAGCCGCUUAAAGGGACAGCGUAAGAGUCGGGAGUCGCUCAGCGAAUAAAGAAGGUGUUCCUCCGCCUGUC